rnacentral:rRNA from 1 species
AUUGAACGCUGGCGGCGUGCUUAACACAUGCAAGUCGAUCGGUAACGCGGGGGCAACCCUGGCGACGAGAGGCGGACGGGUGAGGAACGCUUGGGAAUCUGCCUAUCAGCGGGGGACAACACGGGGAAACUCGUGCUAAUACCGCAUACGCUCUACGGAGGAAAGCCGGGGACCGCAAGGCCUGGCACUGAUAGAUGAGCCCAAGCCGGAUUAGCUAGUUGGCGGGGUAACGGCCCACCAAGGCGACGAUCCGUAGCUGGUCUGAGAGGACGAUCAGCCACGCUGGGACUGAGACACGGCCCAGACUCCUACGGGAGGCGGCAGUGGGGAAUAUUGGACAAUGGGGGAAACCCUGAUCCAGCGACGCCGCGUGGGUGAAGAAGGCCUGCGGGUUGUAAAGCCCUUUCGGUAGGGACGAAAGCUCUCGACCUAACACGUCGGGAGGUUGACUUAACCUACAAAAGAAGCACCGGCUAACUCUGUGCCAGCCGCCGCAGUAAGAC